rnacentral:tRNA from 1 species
GCCGGCAUAGCGUAGUGGUAGCGCAGCGGUUUUGUAAACCGCUGGUCGGGGGUUCGAAUCCCUCUGCCGGCUCCA